rnacentral:rRNA from 1 species
CUACGAAAACUGCACAAUGUGGGAAACCACGAUGCGGGCAUUCCGAGUGCCAAGGCUUUGCUUUGGCUGUUCUUUCGCCUAAAAAGCGAGAGAAGUAAGGGCCGGGUAAGACGGGUGCCAGCCGCCGCGGUAAUACCCGCGGCCCGAGUGGUGCUCAUUAUUAUUGAGCUUAAAGCGUCCGUAGCCGGCCUCGUAAAUCUUUGGGUAAAUCGGGCAGCUUAACUGUCCGAAUUCCGAGGAGACUGCGAGGCUCGGGACCGGGAGAGGUUCGAGGUACUCUCGGGGUAGGGGUAAAAUCCUGUAAUCCUGAGAGGACCACCAGUGGCGAAGGCGUCGAACUAGAACGGAUCCGACGGUGAGGGACGAAGCCCUGGGGCGCAAACGGG